AGAGUUUGAUCAUGGCUCAGAAUCAACGCUGGCGGCGCGCCUAACACAUGCAAGUCGAACGAGAAAGUGGAGCAAUCCAUGAGUACAGUGGCGUACGGGUGAGUAACACGUGGGUAAUCUACCCUUUGGUGGGGAAUAACUUUGGGAAACCGAAGCUAAUACCGCAUAAUCCCGAGAGGGAAAAGCAGCAAUGCGCCGAAGGAGGAGCCCGCGGCCGAUUAGCUAGUUGGUAGGGUAAUGGCCUACCAAGGCUGAGAUCGGUAGCCGGCCUGAGAGGGCACACGGCCACACUGGCACUGAAACACGGGCCAGACUCCUACGGGAGGCAGCAGUGGGGAAUCUUGCACAAUGGGGGAAACCCUGAUGCAGCGACGCCGCGUGAGCGAUGAAGCCCUUCGGGGUGUAAAGCUCUUUCGGCAGGGAAGAUUAUGACGGUACCUGCAGAAGCAGCUGCGGCUAACUACGUGCCAGCAGCCGCGGUAAUACGUAGGCAGCAAGCGUUGUUCGGAGUUACUGGGCGUAAAGGGUGUGUAGGCGGCUUCCUAAGUUUGGUGUGAAAUCUCCCGGCUCAACCGGGAGGGUGCGCCGAAUACUGAGAGGCUAGAGUGCGGGAGAGGAAAGUGGAAUUCCUGGUGUAGCGGUGAAAUGCGUAGAUAUCAGGAGGAACACCGGUGGUGUAGACGGCUUUCUGGACCGUAACUGACGCUGAAACACGAAAGCGUGGGUAGCAAACAGGAUUAGAUACCCUAGUAGUCC
rnacentral:rRNA from 1 species